GAUGAACGCUGGCGGCGUGCCUAAUACAUGCAAGUCGAGCGAACAGACGAGGAGCUUGCUCCUCUGACGUUAGCGGCGGACGGGUGAGUAACACGUGGAUAACCUACCUAUAAGACUGGGAUAACUUCGGGAAACCGGAGCUAAUACCGGAUAAUAUACUGAACCGCAUGGUUCAAUAGUGAAAGACGGUUUUGCUGUCACUUAUAGAUGGAUCCGCGCCGCAUUAGCUAGUUGGUAAGGUAACGGCUUACCAAGGCAACGAUGCGUAGCCGACCUGAGAGGGUGAUCGGCCACACUGGAACUGAGACACGGUCCAGACUCCUACGGGAGGCAGCAGUGGGAAAUCUUCCGCAAUGGGCGAAAGCCUGACGGAGCAACGCCGCGUGAGUGAUGAAGGUCUUCGGAUCGUAAAACUCUGUUAUUAGGGAAGAACAAAUGUGUAAGUAACUAUGCACGUCUUGACGGUACCUAAUCAGAAAGCCACGGCUAACUACGUG
rnacentral:rRNA from 1 species